CAUUGAUGCAACAUUAGGUUCUCCAUUCUCUUGCUCUACUGGGAACCUGGCUCCCAUGGAGGGCUCCGAUUCUCCUGGAUCCCUCUGGAGCUACAGCAGUUUCGUUUCCCUUCCCCUUCCACCAUGGCCCGACAGAAUCAACACACAGAAAGAACUAUACUUUGGAGAAAAGGGUGGAAGAUCCAUCUCAGAAGCAUCCACUGGUACAUAUAUA